rnacentral:rRNA from 1 species
AUUGAACGCUGGCGGCAGGCCUAACACAUGCAAGUCGAACGGUAGCACAGAGAGCUUGCUCUCGGGUGACGAGUGGCGGACGGGUGAGUAAUGUCUGGGAAACUGCCCGAUGGAGGGGGAUAACUACUGGAGACGGUAGCUAAUACCGCAUAACGUCGCAAGACCAAAGUGGGGGACCUUCGGGCCUCACACCAUCGGAUGUGCCCAGAUGGGAUUAGCUAGUAGGUGGGGUAAUGGCUCACCUAGGCGACGAUCCCUAGCUGGUCUGAGAGGAUGACCAGCCACACUGGAACUGAGACACGGUCCAGACUCCUACGGGAGGCAGCAGUGGGGAAUAUUGCACAAUGGGCGCAAGCCUGAUGCAGCCAUGCCGCGUGUAUGAAGAAGGCCUUCGGGUUGUAAAGUACUUUCAGCGGGGAGGAAGGCGGUGAAGUUAAUAACUUCACCGAUUGACGUUACCCGCAGAAGAAGCACCGGCUAACUCCGUGCCAGCAGCCGCGGUAACAC